UACGGGGGGGGCAAGCGUUGUUCGGAAUUACUGGGCGUAAAGGGCUCGUAGGCGGCCAACUAAGUCAGACGUGGAAUCCCUAGGCUCAACCUAGGAACUGCGUCUGAUACUGGAUGGCUUGAAUCCGGGAGAGGGAUGCAGAAUUCCAGGUGUAGCAGUGAAAUGCGUAGAUAUCAGGAGGAAUACCAGAGGCGAAGGCGGCUACCUGGACAAUUGCUGACGCUCAGGCACGAAAGCGUGGGGAGCAAAAGGG
rnacentral:rRNA from 1 species